UAGGGAAUCUUCGGCAAUGGACGGAAGUCUGACCGAGCAACGCCGCGUGAGUGAAGAAGGUUUUCGGAUCGUAAAGCUCUGUUGUUAGAGAAGAACGUUGGUAGGAGUGGAAAAUCUACCAAGUGACGGUAACUAACCAGAAAGGGACGGCUAACUACGUGCCAGCAGCCGCGGUAAUACGUAGGUCCCGAGCGUUGUCCGGAUUUAUUGGGCGUAAAGCGAGCGCAGGCGGUUCUUUAAGUCUGAAGUUAAAGGCAGUGGCUUAACCAUUGUACGCUUUGGAAACUGGAGGACUUGAGUGCAGAAGGGGAGAGUGGAAUUCCAUGUGUAGCGGUGAAAUGCGUAGAUAUAUGGAGGAACACCGGUGGCGAAAGCGGCUCUCUGGUCUUUAACUGACGCUGAGGCUCGAAAGCGUGGGGAGCAAACAGG
rnacentral:rRNA from 1 species